rnacentral:rRNA from 1 species
UACGUAGGGUGCGAGCGUUAAUCGGAAUUACUGGGCGUAAAGGGUGCGCAGGCGGUUUUGUAAGUCAGAUGUGAAAUCCCCGGGCUCAACCUGGGAAUGGCAUUUGGGACUGCAAGGCUAGAGUGUGGCAGAGGAGACUGGAAUUCCUGGUGUAGCAGUGAAAUGCGUAGAUAUCAGGAGGAAUACCGAUGGCGAAGGCAGGUCUCUGGGUUAACACUGACGCUCAUGCACGAAAGCGUGGGGAGCAAACAGG